rnacentral:rRNA from 1 species
AACGAACGCUGGCGGCAGGCUUAACACAUGCAAGUCGAACGCCCCGCAAGGGGAGUGGCAGACGGGUGAGUAACGCGUGGGAAUCUACCCAGAUCUUCGGAACAACUGAGGGAAACUUCAGCUAAUACCGGAUACGCCCUACGGGGGAAAGAUUUAUCGGUUCUGGAUGAGCCCGCGUUGGAUUAGCUAGUUGGUGGGGUAAUGGCCUACCAAGGCGACGAUCCAUAGCUGGUCUGAGAGGAUGAUCAGCCACACUGGGACUGAGACACGGCCCAGACUCCUACGGGAGGCAGCAGUGGGGAAUAUUGGACAAUGGGCGAAAGCCUGAUCCAGCCAUGCCGCGUGGAUGAUGAAGGUCUUAGGGUUGUAAACCUCUUUUGCCAUGUGGGAGACCACAUGGAGAAUAAGUACUUGCUAAUCUCGUGCCAGCCGCCGCGGUAAUAC